GACAGAGGUCUCGAGCGUUAGGCGGAAUCACUGGGCGUAAAGCGUGCGUAGACGGUUAUGUAAGUCAGAUGUGAAAGCCCCGGGCUCAACCUGGGAAUUGCAUUUGAGACUGCAUAGCUAGGGUGCGGAAGAGGGAAGCGGAAUUUCCGGUGUAGCGGUGAAAUGCGUAGAUAUCGGAAGGAACACCAGUGGCGAAAGCGGCUUCCUGGUCCAGCACCGACGUUCAGGCACGAAAGCGUGGGGAGCAAACAGG
rnacentral:rRNA from 1 species